rnacentral:rRNA from 1 species
AUUGAACGCUGGCGGCAUGCCUUACACAUGCAAGUCGAACGGUAACAGGUCUUCGGAUGCUGACGAGUGGCGAACGGGUGAGUAAUACAUCGGAACGUGCCUAGUAGUGGGGGAUAACUACUCGAAAGAGUGGCUAAUACCGCAUGAGAUCUACGGAUGAAAGCAGGGGAUCGCAAGACCUUGUGCUACUAGAGCGGCUGAUGGCAGAUUAGGUAGUUGGUGGGAUAAAAGCUUACCAAGCCGACGAUCUGUAGCUGGUCUGAGAGGACGAUCAGCCACACUGGGACUGAGACACGGCCCAGACUCCUACGGGAGGCAGCAGUGGGGAAUUUUGGACAAUGGGCGCAAGCCUGAUCCAGCAAUGCCGCGUGCAGGAUGAAGGCCUUCGGGUUGUAAACUGCUUUUGUACGGAACGAAAAGCCCUGGGUUAAUACCCUGGGGUCAUGACGGUACCGUAAGAAUAAGCACCGGCUAACUACGUG